rnacentral:rRNA from 1 species
GGGUGUGAUCAUACCAGCACUAAUGCACCGGAUCCCAUCAGAACUCCGCAGUUUAAGCAUGCUUGGGCGAGAGUAGUACU